UAACUAAACAUGAAAUCCACUGUAAUUUAAAACUUUACAUAACUGAAAUAUUUAGUUAUUACAUGCUUUAUAUACAUUCAUUUACAUGUCUCUGUACAUCGAAAUAGAUGAUACAUGAACCCAAAAUGGUAUACCACUAGUACUCGGGUGUCCACUAGCUAGGCUGCUGGCUCUUGCCUCGAUCCUCGGCCACAAUACUCGCACUGGAACCUGUAUGGUUAGUGGUGUGAGAACUACAAGAAAGUUCCCAGUGGGUUCGGCCGCCGACCUCGCCGACUCACCCACUAGAUCUACUCAGGCAUAUGUAGACAAGAAAAGUAAACAGAUAGUAACCAACUAUAACAUGUAACUACUACAAUGCCUGCACAAAGCUGAAAGGAAGCAAUAUAGGAAAACUGUAAUUAUGCAUGUAUGCUUUUCACUAACUUUACCCAAUCUUUUGGUUAACCCUCUGGUUAACAGCUGGACAAGUACGUUAGUCCUGGGGCAAGUACGUUAGCCCAUAAAUUUACCCAAUUCAGUGGUUAACCCUUUGGUUAACAAUAACUCACCAUCGAAAUCCCUCACGGGCCCUAAGCUGCCUCCCGAUGGGACCGUCUGUCGGACAAGUACGUUAGUCCUGGGGCAAGUACGUUAGCCCAACAAGUGACUACUCCGGAGCUCACUGCCUGGGGGGAGCGACCACCACCAAGCUAAGAAAACAGACUAUGUGAGUAAGAUCUGAUUCCCCUUUAGAGGAUUCAACUGACAACAAUGUCACAAUUUAACUCUAACUAGUUCUUUAUACUAGUUUCAUAAUUGCAUUUCUCGAUGCUAACCAAAUCUCUAGUCAUGAUGUCACCAAGUUUACUAUUGUCUUGGUCCUUUACAGUUUCAUACAUUCAUAGGGUUCUAUGUCCACAUGCUAAUGUUCAUAUGUUCUUACUAUCAAUAAGAAUUCACACGUUCAAUAUCACUUACAUAAUGCCAAUGCCCAUACCCUAUAAUGUAUGAAUUCAGAAGUAAAUAUGCUCAAUGAAUAGCAUAGACAUAAAAGGUGAUUCAAAGACUUCGGAUAGCACCACCCACCUGUAGUGGUGUCCACAACUAGGAUCUCACGUCUCGGAAAGCGUCGACGACUAUCUCUCGCGACUCCGUGCAAAUAGGACUAGAGCGGUCUUCACCGUAAUUAGCGCGUCGCCGACCUGUCGGAAAGUCAAUUUAGACUUUCGAGCAUGUUCAAUUAUCAUUUACAUAAGACUAGGAGAGAUUAAACUAGAGUCAUCGCUCAUAUUUUACAAGUUAGCAUUUCAAUGCUACAGAAAGCGGCAACUAUAGCCGAAAACCUUCUUUUGGCGAUAUCUUUGCGUAGGUUCGUCGGAUUGCCGAACCGACUUCGCCAACGCGUUUCUUUUACCCUGAAUUUGGUUUAUACGCGGUCAAUUUCACUUUAGGAUUCUUAUUUUGCAAAAGUGCAUUGCCGGGGUCAGUUUUCUCAAAAAUACUAUUUCAAUGCAAUUUCACAAUUCAAUAGAGUAAUUCAACUCUUUAUUAGCCCAAGGUCCUCAAAUCAGUUAGUAAAAACUGUCUAAAUACUUCGAUUCAUCUUUCACUCUAUUUCAUUAUCUUUCUUUCUUGCUUUCUUUUCUUUUCUUUCCUUUCUUUUCUUUCCUUUCCUUUCUUUUCUUUCCUUUCCUUUCUUUUCUUUCUUUUCUUGCUUGCUGCCCCUGCAGGGCAGCAGCUGCUGCUGCCACUGCUGCUGCGCAUGCUGCUGCUGUUGCUGCUCCUCAGCUGCUACUCUAGCAGCUGCUGCUGCUGAUGCCACUGCUGCUGGCUGCUGCUGCUGAAGCUGCUGCUCAGCAGCUCCUGCUGAGCUGCUGCUGCUGCUGACUGCUGGCUGCUACAGCUGCUGCUGAUGCUAUUGCUGCUGCUACUCCAGCAGCUGCUGCUGCUGUCCACUGCUGCUGCUGCUAGCUGCUGAAGCUGCUGCUGCUGCUGAAGCUGCUGCUGCUGAAGCUACUGUUGCUGAAGCUGCUGGCAGCAGCUGGCUAAGCUGCUGCUGCUGCAGCAGGUUGCUUGUGCUGCUGCUGCUGCUGCUGAGCAAGCUGCUGCUGCUCGCUGCUAAGGCUGACAGCAGGGAGAAGGGAAGAAACAAAGCAAGGAGAGAGAGAGGAAAUAAAAUUCUCACCUUUCUUUUUCUUCUUCUUCUUCUUCUUCUUCUCUUUUCUCUUCUUUUCUUUUCUCUUCUCUCUCUACGUAUGGGCUGCAGAAGGGGGAUAAGGAUGGAGCUCCCCUGUUGGCAGGUUUAGUGGAAUUCCACUAAGCCAUCGCUAAUUACCAUUUUGCCCCUCGACUAAUCCGUUUAUCCGCGCGGAUCAAAUACCUUUCGCAGGCCCUUCCGAAAGUCCGAUUGAGCUCAAAUUUGGCAGGAAUGUUCGUUUUUACUUGACAAGUCCACUGAAAUUUUAACAUUUCAGUUUCGACCCCGUUUGGUCACUGCGAACUGUCCCGAACUGUAAUCUUUAUCCGAUAACUUUCAGAUGCUAUUUCUCUCUCUACAGGUGUUAGAAAAAUAUGAAACUUCAAAUCUAGCCUCAUAAUAAUGUUCCUGACAUCUCUGCGAAUUUUCAUAAUUUUCUGACGCUGUGCAUUUUCUGCUAAUUUUCUCAGUCCCAUUCUUUACAGAAAAUUUCAAAUCUUCUGUUUUCGCUCCGAUUUCACCCAAACACUUCCAAAAUACACCAAGGGACCUUCCCAAGCUACCAAUUUAAUUUGGAAAUAAUUCCUUUUCAUUUUGACAUUAUUUGAGCCGAAUUAGAAAUAGAAUCGGCUCCAAUUCCAAUACAUGGCCGUUUUGCACUACCACUUCGCACUGAGCUCUUCAAAACCCUUUGAAAACACACCCUUGGCUUUUCCAAAACUUCACAAUUGAUUCGGAGAUACUACAAUGUAUCCUUCCGCCUUACUUUAAUUCUUUUAAUCAAAGUUAGGGUCGGAAAUCCGAAAUUCUCUUUACUCUCUUUACAUUUCGUUUCGCGCCCAAUUUGCGCCGACACACUUAUUUCUCUUUGGAACUCAUUCCAACGCAUCACAAAUCCCUCGGGGAUGAUGUCCAACUAGCUCAAUCCUCACUUUGACCCUCUAGGUCAAAGUUGACAUCGCGACUCCAAGUUUCCAUAUGUUACAUUCUCCUCCCGUUAACAAAAGUUUCGUCCGCGAAACUUAGAUCAUUACCCCUUAUUGCUUAACGGAUGGAGAUAACUUUCCAAAUGCUAUUCCAAAGUUUCUCAAUUUCAUUCCAUACUAUACUGAUUUCUCCAAAUCAGUCUCUACGAACACUUUGUUCGCAUUUCCCAAUCUCAACUCGUCAUCGAUGCUUAUUUUAGCAAUUCUGAGUAAUUCAUCCAUAGGACCAAGCUUUUGCUUUCACGGUCUCUACUCAUAAUCUACUUGCAUAGAUCUACUACACUCGCUUUCAGUAUGAAUGAGUAAACCAGUACCACAAUUCGGUUCAUAAGUUACCGAUCCGAUACAGGCCGAUUGCCUAACCCAACCAUGAUACGACAUAAUGCCUCUCGCUCGCAAGCGUAGACCCAAUUAUCACGUAGCAAAGUUCUCAUUUGCGACAUCGCAUACCUGCUCCAACUGGGAGCAACCGAGACCCUAAACCACGUCAAGUCCUCGGGUUGGUUCGCUACACACUCUGAGUGUUCUCGAUCUCACGAUCUAACACGUGGCAUCCCACGUACUCGGGUUUAUGCUCGGACUACCGUCCUGACCAAAACUCUCUGCCCUACCCGUAGGUACCGGGCCGCUGCCUCUCGCAGCUGACUGCGCCUGCCCUAUGGGCCCAGGCUCCACAGUCUAAAAAGGGUCCAGGCACGGAUCGUCCCCAAGCACUACCCGCCAACGUCGUUUCACACGAAAUGCUCUACAGAGCUACAAGUAUCACUAUCGGCUCCUAAGCACCUAGUGCGAGCCACCAGCCCCGCGAGUGAUCCUUGGUACGCUUCACACUUAGCAACGCUCAAGUGCUACUGCCAACACACUCUCCUGGCUGAAUCAGAAUCCACAUUCUACGGACAGCUAUACUCAAGCGUCCUACACUAUCGCGUCUCUUGCCAGACAUCUCACGCUAGGCAAUUCAACCUAUGUCUCAAUUACGCAACCACAAUUCCUCAACUUAUUUGAGGUACAACUUAACUAACUCGCCAAAACCAGGCGAUCAUCUAACCAUGCCACAACAGUGACGCCCUUACCACUACACAAUCCAUCGGAAAUACCAUCUGGAUUUUCGAACUCUAGAAACGUCUUCUAACGUUUCUACUUUAAUUCUCAUUACCACCCGAAUGGUUUAGAGAAUAGGUCCACCAUGUCCAUCUUCAUCUCGAGCCCCAACAUUGGCUCACUGUGACUGCUCGCUAGCACGAUCCAACUGUCUAUUCCACAAUAGACAAUAUAUUCUCUUCCUCCCUGCAUGCUAGGGUCAAAUCCAAGUUUCUAUUUCAUUCCUCUCGAAGUAAGAGGUCAACCAACAGACCUUUCCGAAUUCUAGGAUAACGACUACAACUCCCUUCCAAGUGUCACUUAACAUUCGAUUAACCACUUAAGCUCAAUAUCAGUCGCUUAUCGUUCAUUCUUCACUAAUCAAUUCGCGCAUCUUCCGCCCAAAUAUCACUUAACUUCGACCAUAAGAUUCAAUUUGAAGUCCAUAGCUUAGGACUGCGUAUAACUUUGACACAUUUUCUGUCGAAGUUUCCUUAUUUCAUAAUCGGCCUUGUUUCCAAUAUCUCUUACACUGGUGUACUAAUCAUAGCUUAGCAUAUAGAAAAUCUUUCUACCUACUUUUCCAUCAAAUAUAGGCGGAUUAAACCACAUAAACGCCGUCAGUCCUACUAACGAUUGCUUGUGCUCAGCCCUUGUUGCAGUCGAAUCAGAAUCAGACGGCCCAGAAACCACUGGAGGGAUAAUCACUGAAAAAGGGGGGGCACAAUCGCUGGCGGAUCAGGUAUAGGUGCAUCCUGACUCCCAGAUACUGGUGUUGUCGCCCGUUGCGACACUAGAUCCUAUAACCUCAUUAUGUUCUCUUCCUGCCUCUGCAUAGCUCCAGCUCCAAUGCGCUCACCGGAGCACGUAGCUCCAGAACUUCGCUAGAUCCAGUCUGCUCUGGCAUCCUAGAAGGUGAUGCCGGAGUGGAUCUCGUCGCACGUCGCGACAUUUCUCUUGAAAUGAACCCUUUACACUAGUAAAACAAUACCAAUCAGGCGAAAGCAAUCAAGUAUAUUUAUACUCAACUCUUAGCUUUAUGUUGUGGGCCCCCAACAUAACUCCUUAGUUGUAUAUAAAUAACACUUGGAUCAGCCCCUAAUUAACAUUAGAGACUUACUAACAACUAACCAAAUUUAUUUAGCUUUCGCUAUCAUUAGAUUCGCGCCACUCGCGUUCCUGGUUCCUAGGUUUCCAUUCCUAAGUCCCCUAGGUCAUCCUAGACUUUCACUAUCACUUGCUCUGAUACCACUCUAUCUGUCACGUCCCGAGCCUCGCCUAUUUGGUCGAUCCGGGCCCGUACACAGACGCCGAACGAACAGUACCUCCUCUGUUCGCCCAAGGCUCAACAACAACGGAUACAUGUAUAAAGAAAUUAAACAAUUCCCAGGAUCACAUUUCAAUAUACAUGGCUUGCACGAUGGCAAGCAACAACACAAGUGAUAGUACGUCUAACUAAACAUAUAAUCCACUGUAAUUUAAAACUUUACAUAACUGAAACAUUUAGUUAUUACAUGCUUUAUAUACAAUCAUUUACAUGUCUCUGUACAUCGAAAUAGAUAAUACAUGAACCCAAAAUGGUAUACCACUAGUACUCGGGUGUCCACUAGCUAGGCUGCUGGCUCUUGCCUCGAUCCUCGGCCACAAUACUCGUACUGGAACCUGUAUGGUUAGUGGUGUGUGAGAACUACAAGAAAGUUCCCAGUGGGUUCGGCUGCCGACUUCGCCGACUCACCCACUAGGUCUAUUCAGGCAUAUGUAGGCAAGAAAAGUAAGCAAAUAGUAACCAACUAUAACAUGUAACUACUACAAUGCCUGUACAAAGCUGAAAGAAGUAACAGAUAUGAAAACUGUAAAUAUGCAUGCAUGCUUUUCAUUAACUUUACCUAAUCUUUUGAUUAACCCUCUGGUUAACAGCUGGACAAGUACGUUAGUCCAUAAAUUUACCCAAUUCAGUGGUUAACCCUUUGGUUAACAAUAACUCACCAACGAAAUCCCUCACGGGCCCUAAGCUGCCUCCCGAUGGGACCGUCUGUCGGACAAGUACGUUAGUCCUGGGGCUAGUACGUUAGCCCAACAAGUGACUACUCCGGAGCUCACUGCCUGGGGGGAGCGACCACCACCAAGCUAAGAAAACAGACUAUGUGAGUAAGAUCUGAUCCCCUUUUAGAGGAUUCAACUGACAACAAUGUCACAAUUUAACUCUAACUAGUUCUUUAUACUAGUUUCAUAAUUGCAUUUCUCGAUGCUAACCAAAUCUCUAAUCAUGAUGUCACCAAGUUUACUAUUGUCUUAGUCCUUUACAGUUUCAUAAUUUCACUGUUUAUCUCACAAUGCUAUCCAAUUCUCUAGUUAGAAUGUCACCAAGUUUACUAUUGUCAAAGUCCAUGCAUUCAUAGGGUUCUAUGUCCACAAUCUAAGGUUCACAAAUUCUCAUUGUUGAUAGGAAUUCACAUUUUCACUCGCUCAAUGCCAAACACCCUAUAAUGCGUGACUACAAAUAUAAAUAUGCUCAACGAAGAAUUAUAGACAUAAAAGGUGAUUCAAAGAGUUCGGAUAGCACCACCCACCUGUAGUGGUGUCAAUCAACUAAAAUCCACGUCUCGGAAAGCGUCGAGACUAUCUCUCGCGACUCCAUGCAAUUAGGACUAGAACGGCCGCUACCGUAAUUAGCGCGUCGUCGAC
rnacentral:lncRNA from 1 species